UGGUAGCUCAGCAUUGGUUCAGGUC
rnacentral:piRNA from 1 species